AAAAAGAAAGAACUUUCCAGCUAAUGGGGGUUUACCUUUUUAUUCCGAAAAAGCAUACUUUUGUUGAUCAUAAUGAAGUUUUGCAAGUAAAUUACAGAAGAAGAAAAAAACUAUCCUUAAUUGCAAAAAUUCCCGGUGGUGUUAAGUAGGAAGGCCACCAUGACAAUAACUGGUAGAUCAGCAAAGUGAUCGAAGAUCAUAAACUUGGUUUGUCUUCGGUGGAUGCAAGAAGAAGAGCUUUUGUUUUUUCUUGUUUAAUUUGGUACAAGGAUCGAAGAAGAAGAAGGCAGACAGAAUGGCCGAGGGCGUUGUGUCGUUUGUUGUGGAAAGGCUUGCGGACCUUAUAAUUAGAGAUGCAAUACUUAUAGUAGGGGCGAGCGAUCAAAUCAAGCUGAUGCACUCCGAAUUAAAGCGCAUGCAGUGCUUCUUAGAAGACGCAGAUAAAAGGCAAAACGAAGACGAGAGCGUUCAAAAUUGGGUUUCUGAGAUUCGGGAUGCCGCAUACGAUGCUCAGGAUAUAAUAGAAAGUUUCGCCCUUGAAAUUCUGUCCAAGAACAGAGAAAAUCUGCUCAAGAGGUACGCUUCUUUUCUCAGCGACACCAUCAAACUUCACAAAGUGGCGUACGAGAUUGAGGCCAUUAAAGCUAGAAUCUCCGACCUCUCCAGAAGCUUACAGACUUAUGGUGUGAAUUCUGCAAGAGAAGAAGGCUCCACUUCAGCGUCGAUCCUGCAUAGGCAAAGGCAAAGGCAAUUGAGAUGGUCUUAUUCCCAUAAUCUUGAAGAGUACAUCGUGGGGUUGGACGAAAACAUAAGAGAAGUAGUUGCACAGCUCGUGAGUGAGAAAAAUGGCUGUCAAUCUGUGUCUAUUUGCGGGAUGGGUGGUCUAGGCAAGACCACUCUUGCCAAAAAAGUUUAUCAUUACAGUGACGUUAGGCGUCAUUUUGAAGGCUUUGCUUGGGCUUAUGUGUCUCAAGAUUGCAAAAGAAGAGAUGUUUGGGAAGGAAUUUUGCUCAAUCUUACCUCUCCGUCCAAAGACGAUAGGGAUCAGGUUUUGAAAAUGAGAGAGGAUGAGCUGGCAAAGAAGCUUAAUCAAGUUCUGCAAGACAAAAGAUGUUUGGUGAUCCUCGACGAUAUUUGGGACUCCGAGGCAUGGGAUAUACUCUUGCCUGCCUUCCCAUCAGGAAUGGUGAGCAGCAAAAUUCUACUAACAACUCGCAAUAGAGAAGUAGCCAAGCAUGUAGAUCCAGGAGGAUUUAUACAUGAACCGACGUGUUUGAAUGAGGAAGAUAGUUGGGACUUGUUUCAGAAGAAGGCAUUUCCGAGAAAAACUCCAGACUCCAGAAUUUGCGAAAGCAUGGAGAAGUUAGGGAGGGAAAUGGUGGCGAGGUGUGCUGGUUUACCAUUGGCUAUCAAUGUGCUUGGAGGGCUUUUGGCAACCAAAGAAACAUUGAGUGAGUGGGACAUGGUGCACAGAAAUAUAAAAUCUUACUUAAGGAGAGGCCCCGCCCAAGGACAACCAUCAACAGUUCAGGAUGUAUUGGCUUUGAGUUACCAUGAAUUGCCUUACCAAUUAAAACCCUGUUUCCUCUAUCUCAGCCAGUUUCCAGAGGACUACGAUAUUCCAAAAAAGAAAUUGGUUCGACUGUGGGUGGCGGAAGGCUUUGUGUCUCCGAAAUACGAGCAUAUCGACGGCGAUGAAGCGCUGGAAGAUGUUGCAGAAAGCUACCUGGUUGAGUUGAUAAAUAGAUGCAUGGCUCAAGUGGGUGUGGUUGGGGCAAGCGGAAGGAUCAAGUCUUGCCGCCUCCAUGAUCUUAUGCGCGACCUAUGCUUGUCAAAGGCAAAACAGGAAAAUUUCCUCCACAUUGUAGGCCAUUCGCCUGGAAAUGAUCAGACAACGGAUGCUUUUCCUUCACACAGCGUGACAUCAACUGGUAGAAUUCGCAGACUUGCCAUAUUUUCUGACACUUUUGUCCCAGAAAAAUACAAAGAUCAGCAUCCGCAGAUCAGGUCCCUCUUAUACUUCAUUAAAGAUAACCAUUCCAUCGUCUCUGUGUUUAAGUACUUCAGAUUGCUUAGAGUUUUGGAUCUGGAAGGAAGCAAGAUCCCGGAUGGGGAGUUACCCGAGAAAAUAGGAACAUUAACGAUUCAUUUGAGGUUCUUGAGCUUGAAGAAAACUGGUAUACGGGUUUUGCCUUCAUCCAUAAGCAAUUUGAUGUGCUUGGAGACCCUGAAUCUGGAAACCAUUGACGAAAUGAGUUGGGAAUCGACUGUAGUAAUUCCGAACGAGAUAUGGACGAUGGAACAGUUGAGACAUCUAUAUCUUCCCAAGUGGUGUGAUUAUUCUUCUGAUGGUAAGCUUCAACUGACAAGUAUGACCAAACUUCAGACACUAGUAAACUUCCCUGCAAACAAAUGUGAUGUAAGCGAUCUUCUCAGUUUGACAAGUCUUAGAAAAUUGGUGCUAAAUGAGCCAAGACACUUCCAAGAGUUUGGGGAAAUCUUCAGACGGCCGACCGACAAAUUAAACAGCCUUCGAUCCUUGUCCAUGAAGACUGAAAUGCUUUCAUUCCCUGAUAAGGUUGUAAACCUGCGGCAAGUAGUGCAAGGUUGUCCUCGUCUCUACAAGCUACACGUGGAAGGGCGGAUAGAGAAGCUGCCGGAAUACCACCAUCCGUACCUCGCCAAGUUAAUUCUGUGGGGAUCCAGACUUGAGGAAGACCCGAUGCCUAUACUGGAGAAGCUGCCGAACUUGAGGUUCCUAAACGGAUGGGAUGCUUUCGUUGGGAAGAAAAUGGUUUGCUCUAAAGGAGGUUUUCCUAAACUGAAAACGUUACGCUUACGCGGCUUGCCUAAGUUAGAGGAGUGGACGGUGGAGGCAGGUGCCAUGCCCUGUCUUUCCCGUUUGGAGAUUUUAGGUUGCAGCAAGCUGAAGUCGGUUCCAGAUGGACUAGAGUUUGUCAGUACACUCCAGGAACUGGAGUUACGAUGGAUGCCAAUAGCAUUCAAACACAGGCUUGAAAAAAAAGGAGAGGAUUUCAGCAAAGUCAAGCACGUCCCUUCCAUUGUUUUUCUGAAUUAAUUGAGCUUGGAAUACCAAGUUUGAUGAUCAUCAGGUGAAACGCACUCAAGGAUCGUUGAAUUGAUGCUAGCUGUCAUGGUCUACAUCAUUUGGAAGGAAAGAAAUUCAAGACAUUUUGCUGGAAAUGUAGAGAUUUGGCUAGCUAUUGUUUGUAUGGACGUACAUUGUUCUGCUUGUUAGGCUUCAGAUCAACUGAUCACUCUCCUUUGAGGCUAAUUAUGCCAAUAGAAGGUUGGGCAGAGUUCUGAUGAUGUUUUCCUAAUCAACAAAUUACCCUGCUUUUAUAUUUGUCUGUGCUGGUCUAGUGGUGUAAAUUGAACUGGUUUUGGCUUCUUUGCGGUUCCCAAGCUGUGCAGGUUUGGGGUAUUGGUGAUUUGUUGUCUUUCAUAGUUGCUGGUUUUGGGGACUAAUCUUCCCCUUGUAAAUUUUAAUUUUGUUUUAAUAAAUUAGUUAUUCAUCUAAAAAAAAAAAAAAAAAAUCCAAAUGAUAUAGAAACUUCAAUUCUCUCA